AGUGGUGCAGUUGUUAAAGCGCUUGGCUGCUAACCAAAAGGUUGGUGGUUCGAACCCACCAGCCACUC
rnacentral:tRNA from 1 species